rnacentral:rRNA from 1 species
UUAUGCAUGCAAGUCGAGCGAAGCUUUUCAGUAGUUUACUACAGAAAAUGACUGAGCGGCGAACGGGUGAGUAACGCGUGAGCAACCUACCUUAGUUACUGGGAUAGCCCGAGGAAACUCGGAUUAAUACCGGAUAUUCUUAUUUAAUCACAUGAUUUUUUAAGGAAAGGUCAGCCGAACUAAGAUGGGCUCGCGUUCUAUCAGCUAGUUGGUAGGGUAAUGGCCUACCAAGGCUACGACGGAUAGCUGGUCUGAGAGGACGAUCAGCCACACUGGGACUGAGACACGGCCCAGACUCCUACGGGAGGCUGCAGCAGGGAAUAUUGCGCAAUGAGCGAAAGCUUGACGCAGCGACACCGCGUGUGGGAUGACGGAUCUAGGUUUGUAAACCACUUUCAGGAGGGAAGAAAAUGACGGUACCUCCACAAGAAG